rnacentral:rRNA from 1 species
UACGAAGGGGGCUAGCGUUGCUCGGAAUUACUGGGCGUAAAGCGCACGUAGGCGGGCUAUUAAGUCAGAGGUGAAAGCCUGGAGCUCAACUCCAGAACUGCCUUUGAUACUGAUAGUCUUGAGUUUGUGAGAGGUAAGUGGAAUACCGAGUGUAGAGGUGAAAUUCGUAGAUAUUCGGUGGAACACCAGUGGCGAAGGCGACUUACUGGCACAAUACUGACGCUGAGGUGCGAAAGCGUGGGGAUCAAACAGG